UACGUAGGGUGCAAGCGUUAAUCGGAAUUACUGGGCGUAAAGCGUGCGCAGGCGGUGAUGUAAGACAGAUGUGAAAUCCCCGGGCUCAACCUGGGAACUGCAUUUGUGACUGCAUCGCUGGAGUGCGGCAGAGGGGGAUGGAAUUCCGCGUGUAGCAGUGAAAUGCGUAGAUAUGCGGAGGAACACCGAUGGCGAAGGCAAUCCCCUGGGCCUGCACUGUCGCUCAUGCACGAAAGCGUGGGGAGCAAACAGG
rnacentral:rRNA from 1 species